rnacentral:rRNA from 1 species
CAGUAGCCACGGUAAUACGAAGGGUGCAAGCGUUAAUCGGAAUUACUGGGCGUAAAGCGUGCGCAGGCGGUUAUAUAAGUCAGAUGUGAAAUCCCCGGGCUCAACCUGGGAACUGCAUUUGAGACUGUAUGGCUAGAGUGUGUCAGAGGGGGGUAGAAUUCCACGUGUAGCAGUGAAAUGCGUAGAUAUGCGGAGGAACACCGAUGGCGAAGGCAGCCCCCUGGGCCAAUACUGACGCUCAUGCACGAAAGCGUGGGGAGCAAACAGGAUUAGAUACACCAGUAGUCCCUGUCUCUUAUAU